ensembl:lncRNA
CUGAGGCAGAAGCACUGUGACUGCAUUUAAGACUCAAAAAUUUCAUCUAUUGUAAGAUUCUGUACAAAUUGUUUUGAGUCACCUAUGAACACAACCUGAAUGGAGAAAUGUGUUCCUACUUCCUUGGCUAACUGUGACUGAUUGGUAAUGGCUGUCUGGAUCAUGGUGUUGAGAUAAAUAAUGAGACCUUGCCUCGGCUUGGACAGGAAAAUGGCUGCGAUUAAUUAGAAAUGUCUGCCACGGCCACAAGUCGGGAUCUUCAUAGAUGUGAUCAAGUUAAGGGCUUAUCUUUUCCUCGGGGGAGGAGAAACAGAGAUAUUUCUGCUUGCUGAGGACUCCGGAUGCUCAGUCCUUUAGACCAUCACACCAUACUUCUUCCUUCAAUGAUCGGAAUUUGCUUUUCCUGAUGGAGUUACCUCUUGGAUGAAUCAAGCACUUUUACCUUCUCUACCUGGGUGGCUGGCUCAUAAUUGCCACCAGUCUGUUGGGAUGACCUGAGCUCAGCUCAUACCUUACAGGUUACUGUAACACUUCCUGAAGAUUUACAUUUAUGUUUCAUCUAGAUGUAAUUUAAGAUCUUCUUAAGCUCAAAAGAGUAUAAACGAACUCCCACCUGCUAAGCUGGCUUCCAGGAAUGAUGCAAGAUGGAGCUGUCUCCUUCUUUGAUUGAUCAAAAUAUAAGUAUUAGAACCUUCUCCCAUUUUUUCUUCUUAAUUCUAAAUUCAGUAAUUUACUCGACAAGCACGAUGGUACACACUACCCAGUUUUAAUCAAGGC